AUGAAGGGUGACUCUUGUGGACCAUUGAACUUGGCCAAGGGUUCAGCUAAGUACCCUCUGCCGCCUGCGCCUGCGUCUCCUCCCCUACCUCCACCACCGUUCCCUCUGCCGCCUGCGCCUGCGGCUCCUCCCCUACCUCCACCACCGUUCCCUCUGCCGCCUGCGCCUGCGGCUCCUCCCCUACCUCCACCACCGUUCCCUCUGCCGCCUGCACCUGCGGCUCCUCCCCUACCUCCACCACCGUUCCCUCUCCCGCCUGCGCCUGCGGCUCCUCCCGUACCUCCACCACCGUUCCCUCCCCUGCCUCCACCAUCGUCCCCACCUGGCACUGGCAAUGGCAUCCUAGUAGCAGGCGAGAGCUAG
rnacentral:rRNA from 1 species